CCUACGGGAGGCAGCAAUAGGGAAUCUUUCACAAUGGGCGAAAGCCUGAUGGAGCAACGCCGCGUGCAGGAUGAAGGCCUUCGGGUUGUAAACUGCUUUUAUAAGCGAGAAAUAUGACGGUAACUUAUGAAUAAGGAUCGGCUAACUACGUGCCAGCAGCCGCGGUCAUACGUAGGAUCCGAGCAUUAUCCGGAGUGACUGGGUGUAAAGAGUUGCUAAGGUGGGAAAAUAAGUAGUGGGGGAAAUCCGGGGGCCCAAACAUUCACACUAUUAGGGAAACUGUUAAGCUCGAGUGCGGUAGGGGUAACUGGAAUUUCUAGUGUAGGAGUGAAAUCCGUAGAUAUUAGAAGGAACACCAAUAGCGUAGGCAGGUUGCUGGGACGGUUCUGACACUAAGGCACGAAAGCGUAGGGAGCAAACGGGAUUAGAUACCCGUGUAGUC
rnacentral:rRNA from 1 species